rnacentral:rRNA from 1 species
UACGAAGGGUGCAAGCGUUACUCGGAAUUACUGGGCGUAAAGCGUGCGUAGGUGGUUUGUUAAGUCUGAUGUGAAAGCCCUGGGCUCAACCUGGGAAUUGCAUUGGAUACUGGCAGGCUAGAGUGCGGUAGAGGGUAGUGGAAUUCCCGGUGUAGCAGUGAAAUGCCUAGAGAUCGGGAGGAACAUCCGUGGCGAAGGCGACUACCUGGACCAGCACUGACACUGAGGCACGAAAGCGUGGGGAGCAAACAGG